rnacentral:tRNA from 1 species
AAAUUAAAGCUUUUAAAGCAUUUUAUUUACAUUAAAAAGAAAAUUGUUUAAUCAAUUUAAUUUGAA